rnacentral:rRNA from 1 species
AACGCUAGCUACAGGCUUAACACAUGCAAGUCGAGGGGCAGCAUAAAAGUAGCAAUACUUUGGUGGCGACCGGCGCACGGGUGAGUAACGCGUAUGCAACCUACCUAUCAGAGGGGGAUAACCCGGCGAAAGUCGGACUGAUACCGCAUAAAACAGGGGCACCGCAUGGUGAUAUUUGUUAAAAAUUUAUUGCUGAUAGAUGGGCAUGCGUUCCAUUAGGUAGUUGGAGAGGUAACGGCUCACCAAGCCCACGAUGGAUAGGGGAACUGAGAGGUUGGUCCCCCACACUGGUACUGAGACACGGACCAGACUCCUACGGGAGGCAGCAGUGAGGAAUAUUGGUCAAUGGGCGAGAGCCUGAACCAGCCAAGUAGCGUGAAGGAUGACUGCCCUAUGGGUUGUAAACUUCUUUUAUAAAGGAAUAAAGUCGGGUAUGCAUACCCGUUUGCAUGUACUUUAUGAAUAAGGACCGGCUAAUUCCGUGCCAGCAGCCGCGGUAAUACGGAAGGUCCGGGCGUUAUCCGGAUUUAUUGGGUUUAAAGGGAGCGUAGGCCGGAGAUUAAGCGUGUUGUGAAAUGUAGACGCUCAACGUCUGCACUGCAGCGCGAACUGGUUUCCUUGAGUACGCACAAAGUGGGCGGAAUUCGUGGUGUAGCGGUGAAAUGCUUAGAUAUCACGAAGAACUCCGAUUG